GGACGAACGCUGGCGGCGUGCUUAACACAUGCAAGUCGAGCGGGAAACUUCGGUUUCCAGCGGCGGACGGGUGAGUAACACGUGGGCAACCUGCCUCACAAUGAGGGAUAGCCUUCCGAAAGGAAGAUUAAUACCUCAUAACACAAGAGAAACGCAUGUUUUUUUUGCCAAAGAAUUUCGUUGUGAGAUGGGCCCGCGGCGCAUUAGCUUGUUGGUGAGGUAACGGCUCACCAAGGCUGCGAUGCGUAGCCGACCUGAGAGGGUGAUCGGCCACAUUGGAACUGAGACACGGUCCAGACUCCUACGGGAGGCAGCAGUGGGGAAUAUUGCACAAUGGAGGAAACUCUGAUGCAGCAACGCCGCGUGAGUGAUGAAGGUCUUCGGAUUGUAAAGCUCUGUCUUCUGGGACGAUAAUGACGU
rnacentral:rRNA from 1 species